rnacentral:other from 1 species
GUUCUCAUACAGCAAUCAUCAUAACAAAUUUAAAUCGUCAAAUUAAACCAAAAUGAGAUCUG